GAUUCCAUCCGCGUUUCCUGAUUUCUUUCGACGUUUCCAACCUUUCUUCAGAAGGAAGUUUCUUCAUCCGACGUCAAACGCAAAAAGUAGUUUUGCGGCAUAUUUCAACCCAUACUACGUUCAAGCUAUUUUCUCACUUAAAUGAACCAGGAACAAGUAUCGACAUUUUAUAGAGAGAUACUUAACUCUGAUGCAUAAUAUGACAACUUCAUAUUUGUUCUGAUCGUCUCACAAAUAUUCUUUAGCUCAGUUUUUACUCAUUUCUUUGUCCAUGGAUCAUUUUAAUUUGCUCAAAGUGAUCCAAACUUAUAUUUCAUUAUUUCAUAGAGUCUCUCAUAAUUUUUGGUAUAGUAAUAUAUCAACUCUAUAUUUUUCUCUUAACUUUGUGAGCUAAAUUCUUCAGUGUCUAAAUCAAUUCGUACCGGUUUUAUAAAUAUCUUCCCUAAAUAUCUAAUAAUCCAUCCUCAUCCUCUGUGACUCACGUUCACUCCCUCCUUUUCUUUCAUUGUCACGUUUCUUUCUUUCUCUUGCAGCAGACCAUAAUCUUUCUUUCUUAUUCUUCUUCUUCUCUAUUUCUAUAUAUAUAUAUAUAUCUCACCACUUGUUGCAACUCACGUUCUCUCUCUCAGAAGCAUCACCACCAGACUUCAAUAUUUAUUCAUUUCCUUUCUUUUCAUUUCUUUUGCUGCAGCUCACCAAUUCUUUCCACUUAUUCUUCCUCUCUUUUCUUUCCCCUGGGCAGCAUAAAAAAACGCACAUCAUGGUCCCUUUUCCUCCCUCACGUGAUUCCUCUCUUGUGCAGCACCAUCAUCUUCAUCUUCCAAUUUUAUGGGUACGAAGGACGAAAGCGCCUUGCGACGAAGCUAAAGAAUAGAAGGAAGCGAGCCGACGCGGAAAACAAAGAUGUGAUAGGAUUGGAGUUGCAGUUUAUGAAGAAAAUUGGCUAAGGCGAUGGAGGGCUGUCGAUGAAACUUGACCUUUGCACGAGUCGGAGCGGAAGACUUGAAGAUUAGUGGAAGACAUGAAGUGUAGAGUCGGGUUUAAGGUUAGAGCCUUGGGUUAGAGAGCUUACCGUUAUUGGUUUAAGCUUGCCUAAUAAUUUUUAGGAAUUUGCAUUUGAGAUUCGGGUAGGUUCCGAUGCAUUGCUUUCUUGCGGUUCCCUGGUGUGGAGAUCGUAGGGAGUAGGUCGGAUUAGGGUGUCGUGGCAUAACAAAUUCCUUGUUGGAUAUGAUUUCAUUCGUUAGAUUUGUAGUUGUUUUCUUCCGUUCAUACAUUCGGGAACUUGCCUUGGUAAAGGCUUGAUGUAGAUUUUAUUUACUGUUGGGUGUAGGCAUUACAUGUUUUGAAAACAAUUCAAAAGGAAAAAAAAAAUUACUCGCUUUAUAAAUUCA